AGUAAACAAAUGUUCAGUCGGAAA
rnacentral:siRNA from 1 species